rnacentral:rRNA from 1 species
AUUGAACGCUGGCGGCAUGCCUUACACAUGCAAGUCGAACGGCAGCACGGGUGCUUGCACCUGGUGGCGAGUGGCGAACGGGUGAGUAAUACAUCGGAACAUGUCCUGUAGUGGGGGAUAGCCCGGCGAAAGCCGGAUUAAUACCGCAUACGAUCUACGGAUGAAAGCGGGGGACCUUCGGGCCUCGCGCUAUAGGGUUGGCCGGUGGCUGAUUAGCUAGUUGGUGGGGUAAGGGCCUACCAAGGCGACGAUCAGUAGCUGGUCUGAGAGGACGACCAGCCACACUGGGACUGAGACACGGCCCAGACUCCUACGGGAGGCAGCAGUGGGGAAUUUUGGACAAUGGGCGAAAGCCUGAUCCAGCAAUGCCGCGUGUGUGAAGAGGGCCUUCGGGUUGUAAAGCACUUUUGUCCGGAAAGAAAUCCUUGAUUCUAAUACAGUCGGGGGAUGACGGUACCGGAAGAAUAAGCACCGGCUAACUACGUGCCAGCCGCCGCUGUAAAAC